rnacentral:lncRNA from 1 species
ACGAGGAGAAGGCAUGGCGAUUGACGCUGGGUGGACCUGAGGGAAACCGCCGGGCGGCACACUUAAACCGCCCGGCGGUGGCUCGCUGGACUUGGGCCCGUUUUCUGAUGCGUUCCUCACCUAUAUAUACUCCUAUUACGAAUUCAGAAUCAUUCUUUUGACAGGGGAGAACGNCCAGACCUAAUUUUNCUCUCUGGAGAGGAUNUCUUGGAUGCUUAGGCUCCUUUUCAUCUUUUCUAGGGUUUGCUUUUCCAUUCUUCUUCCAUUUUUCAUCUAGUUUCACCAUGUCUAUGGUGAACUAAACCCUAUUGUUGUUGGGGGAAACAAUGUAAUCUUUUGAUACUCUCUCUUAUUGAAUCUCUUGAUUAUUUAUAUGGUUGAUUAUUUAUAUGAUUGAUUAUUGUUGAGUUAUCAUCUGUGCUUAAGGCCUUUAUCGUUUAACUCAUUCGGUAUAUUGAUGUUUGUCUUUAUUGAUAUGGGGACGUACAGUAAUGACAUGAACUGGUGAGUAAUCUCUUGAUUUUGCAAUACCACCUAGGGAUAGGGGUAGGACGAUCAAUUGCGCUAACUUUUGUUUAUAAUGCAGUAUUAAUUACUAGGGGAGGCUAGGGAUAGCAAGCCAGUAGUUAAUAUUAGGCCCUUUUCACCGAGGGAUUGGGUUAAGGGAAGGCUAAGAAAGUCACAUAACAAUUGAAUCAAUCAAACUAAUAUUCAAGGGUAGUAUGUAAGAGAGAGCGGAAUAGAUGAAAUUGUAACCCCCAACAACAUCCAUUCAUCCAUUGUUUUCGUUUGUCAAUUGAAUCAACUUUAUUUUUGCAUGUUAAUGUUUUUGUUCUUAAAUCCAAUUUAUUAAUUUUUAUUUUUCAAGUCUUAUUAUUUUAAUUCACGCGAACAAGGAAGU